rnacentral:rRNA from 1 species
UUAUUUGGUAAGGGUUGGGGGAUUGGUUUGAUCCGCCGUCGGCCGGGUAACCGCCCCCCCAAGGCAACGAUCAGUUUGGGUUGGGAAAGAAGUUCCCCCCACAUUGGAACUGAGCCCCGUCCCAAACUCCUACGGGAGCCGCCGUUGAGGAAUAUUGCUCAAUGGGCGGAAGCCUGAAACCAGCCAAGUAGCGUGCAGGAUGACGGCCCUAUGGGUUGUAAACUGCUUUUACAGGGGAAUAAAGUGAGUGACGUGUCAUUCAUUGCAUGUACCCUGCGAAUAAGGACCGGCUAAUUCCGUGCCAGCAGCCGCGGUAAUACGGAAGGUCCGGGCGUUAUCCGGAUUUAUUGGGUUUAAAGGGAGCGUAGGCCGCCUGUCAAGCGUGUUGUGAAAUGUAGAGGCUCAACCUCUGAAUUGCAGCGCGAACUGUCAGGCUUGAGUACGCGCAACGUAGGCGGAAUUCGUGGUGUAGCGGUGAAAUGCUUAGAUAUCACGAAGAACUCCGAUUGCGAAGGCAGCUUACGGGAGCGUUACUGACGCUGAAGCUCGAAAGUGCGGGUAUCGAACAGGAUUAGAUACCCUGGUAGUCCGCACGGUAAACGAUGGAUGCCCGCUGUUGCCCCACCUGAGCAGCGGCCAAGCGAAAGCAUUA